rnacentral:rRNA from 1 species
UGGGGAAUUUUGGACAAUGGGCGCAAGCCUGAUCCAGCCAUGCCGCGUGCGGGAAGAAGGCCUUCGGGUUGUAAACCGCUUUUGUCAGGGAAGAAAUCUUCUGAGUUAAUACCUCGGGAGGAUGACGGUACCUGAAGAAUAAGCACCGGCUAACUACGUGCCAGCAGCCGCGGUAAUACGUAGGGUGCAAGCGUUAAUCGGAAUUACUGGGCGUAAAGCGUGCGCAGGCGGUGAUGUAAGACAGAUGUGAAAUCCCCGGGCUCAACCUGGGAACUGCAUUUGUGACUGCAUCGCUGGAGUGCGGCAGAGGGGGAUGGAAUUCCGCGUGUAGCAGUGAAAUGCGUAGAUAUGCGGAGGAACACCGAUGGCGGAGGCAAUCCCUGGGCCUGCACUGACGCUCAUGCACGAAAGCGUGGGGAGCAAACAGGAUUAGAUACCCUGGUAGUCCACGCCCUAAACGAUGUCAACUGGUUGUUGGGUCUUCACUGACUCAGUAACGAAGCUAACGCGUGAAGUUGACCGCCUGGGGAGUACGGCCGCAAGGUUGAAACUCAAAUGAAUUGACGGGGGUCAUAGCUG